rnacentral:rRNA from 1 species
CCACCACCAAAGCAUUCUCUGGUGUUGAAGGCCCUGCAAAGCAGCAUCGCGGUGGCGGAGCGUCGUUUGCGACGCCCAACACACAAAACAAGCGGUGAAUGCUUUGGGGUGGGGUGACUGCGUACCUUUUGUAUAAUGGGUCAGCGACUUAUAUUCUGUAGCAAGGUUAACCGAAUAGGGGAGCCGGAGGGAAACCGAGUCUUAAUUGGGCGUUAAGUUGCAGGGUAUAGACCCGAAACCCGGUGAUCUAGCCAUGGGCAGGUUGAAGGUUGGGUAACACUAACUGGAGGACCGAACCGACUAAUGUUGAAAAAUUAGCGGAUGACCUGUGGCUGGGGGUGAAAGGCCAAUCAAACCGGGAGAUAGCUGGUUCUCCCCGAAAGCUAUUUAGGUAGCGCCUCGUGAAUUCAUCUCCGGGGGUAGAGCACUGUUUCGGCUAGGGGGCCAUCCCGGCUUACCAACCCGAUGCAAACUGCGAAUACCGGAGAAUGUUAUCACGGGAGACACACGGCGGGUGCUAACGUCCGUCGUGAAGAGGGAAACAACCCAGACCGCCAGCUAAGGUCCCAAAGUCAUGGUUAAGUGGGAAACGAUGUGGGAAGGCCCAGACAGCCAGGAUGUUGGCUUAGAAGCAGCCAUCAUUUAAAGAAAGCGUAAUAGCUCACUGGUCGAGUCGGCCUGCGCGGAAGAUGUAACGGGGCUAAACCAUGCACCGAAGCUGCGGCAGCGAACGUAUCACCCAAGACAACUUUACGGAGUUGACGAUUGACGGAGCGAAGCGACGUCAAAGCGUUCAUUAAAGUCGAGUUGGCUUAGGGAUACGUUCGUUGGGUAGGGGAGCGUUCUGUAAGCCUGUGAAGGUGUGUCGUGAGGCAUGCUGGAGGUAUCAGAAGUGCGAAUGCUGACAUAAGUAACGAUAAAGCGGGUGAAAAGCCCGCUCGCCGGAAGACCAAGGGUUCCUGUCCAACGUUAAUCGGGGCAGGGUGAGUCGACCCCUAAGGCGAGGCCGAAAGGCGUAGUCGAUGGGAAACGGGUUAAUAUUCCCGUACUUGGUGUUACUGCGAAGGGGGGACGGAGAAGGCUAUGUUGGCCGGGCGACGGUUGUCCCGGUUUAAGCGUGUAGGUGUGUGUUCCAGGUAAAUCCGGUUCACUUUAACACUGAGGCGUGACGACGAGGCACUACGGUGCUGAAGCAACAAAUGCCCUGCUUCCAGGAAAAGCCUCUAAGCAUCAGGUAACAC